rnacentral:rRNA from 1 species
GAAGGGGGUAGUCGAUGGGAACCACGUUAAUAUUCGUGGGCCUGGGAGUGUGUGACGGAUUUCGAAAGUUGUCAUCCCUUAAUGGAUUGGGAUGGCGGCCUGGAAGUCCCAGGAAAUAGCCCUCCCAUAUAGACCGUACCCUAAACCGACACAGGUGGGCAGGUAGAGUAUACCAAGGCGCUUGAGAGAAGUAUCCUGAAGGAACUCGGCAAAUUACCUCCGUAACUUCGGGAGAAGGAGGCCCUAUCAGAAGGCAACUUUUGGUAGGGGGCACAAGCUGGGGGGUAGCGACUGUUUAGCAAAAACACAGGGCUCUGCUAAGUCGGCUUCAAGACGACGUAUAGGGUCUGACGCCUGCCCGGUGCUCGAAGGUUAAGAGGAGGAGUGCAAGCUCU